UACGUAGGCAGCAAGCGUUGUUCGGAGUUACUGGGCGUAAAGGGUGUGUAGGCGGUUUUCUAAGUCUGGUGUGAAAUCUCCCGGCUCAACUGGGAGGGUGCGCCGAAAACUGGAAGGCUAGAGUGCGGGAUGGGAGAGUGGAAUUCCUGGUGUAGCGGUGAAAUGCGUAGAUAUCAGGAGGAACACCUGCGGCGAAGGCGGGUAGCUGGGCCGACACUGACGCUGAGGCGCGAAAGCCAGGGGAGCGAACGGG
rnacentral:rRNA from 1 species